AUUGAACGCUGGCGGCAUGCUUUACACAUGCAAGUCGAACGGUAACAGGCCGCGAGGUUCUGACGAGUGGCGGACGGGUGCGUAAUGCAUCGGAACGUGCCCAGUCCUGGUGUAUCACUACUCGAAAGAGUAGCUAAUACCUCAUACUAUCUAUGGCUACAAGCGGGUGACCGUAAGGCCUCGCGCGAUUGGAGCCGCCGAUGUCAGAUUAGGUAGUUGGUGGGGUAAAGGCUCACCAAGCCAACGAUCUGUAGCUGGUCUGAGAGGACGACCGGCCACACUGGAAUUGAGAACCGGCCCAGAUCCCAACGGGAGGCAGAGUUGGGGAAUUUUGGACAAUGGGCGAAAGCCUGAUCCAGCAAUGCGGCGGGCAGGAAGAAGGCUUUCGGGUUGUAAACUGCUUUUGUACGGAACGAAACGGCUCUGGUUAAGACCCGGGGCUAAUGACGGUACCGUAAGAAGAAGCACCGGCAAACUACGG
rnacentral:rRNA from 1 species